AGCGUUGUUCGGAAUUACUGGGCGUAAAGCGCACGUAGGCGGAUUGCCAAGUCAGGGGUGAAAUCCUGGAGCUCAACUCCAGAACUGCCUUUGAUACUGAGGGGCUUGAGUCCGGGAGAGGUGAGUGGAACUGCGAGUGUAG
rnacentral:rRNA from 1 species